rnacentral:rRNA from 1 species
AGCGAACGCUGGCGGCAGGCUUAACACAUGCAAGUCGAACGCUCGUAGCAAUACGGGAGUGGCAGACGGGUGAGUAACGCGUGGGAAUAUGCCUUUUGGUUCGGAAUAACUCAGGGAAACUUGAGCUAAUACCGGAUAAGCCCGUGAGGGGAAAGAUUUAUCGCCAAAAGAUUAGCCCGCGUCCGAUUAGCUAGUUGGUGAGGUAAUGGCUCACCAAGGCGACGAUCGGUAGCUGGUCUGAGAGGAUGAUCAGCCACAUUGGGACUGAGACACGGCCCAAACUCCUACGGGAGGCAGCAGUGGGGAAUAUCGGACAAUGGGCGCAAGCCUGAUCCGGCCAUGCCGCGUGAGUGAUGAAGGCCUUAGGGUUGUAAAGCUCUUUUGUCCGGGAAGAUAAUGACGGUACCGGAAGAAUAAGCCCCGGCUAACUUCGUGCCAGCCGCCGCCGUAA